AGGCAAAAAAACACAAUUCCAGGGAUCUUUAUUCAUCAAGAGGUGCAGUUUGUGUAACGCUCUAAAAGAUCGAGUACAAUUUCUACCAACAGACGAUGGAAAAGAAAUAGUAAUGUAUCAGAAAUAUACGUUUUCAUUUUAUGGAAGGCUAGGAAGAACUUACUUGAAAUGCUCGAGGUCAACGACAGGGAAGUGUAAGGCUAAGCUGAAAGUGGAUGCAUCAGGUAACAUACUGGCAGCCAAUGGAGAACACAAUCAUCCACCACCGGUCUAUUGGAAAAAUAAACAAGGAGUUUAUGUCAAAGUUAGAAUAUUAUAAUUAC